rnacentral:tRNA from 1 species
CGCCGCUCGCCCUGGAAAAUGGGCCACGGGAAUCAUAAUCCUGGGGUCGGGGGUUCGAGUCCCUCCCCCGCUACCA